rnacentral:misc_RNA from 1 species
GGAAGGUUGCAGCACGUGAUGCAAUGUGAAAAGGACAGAGAUACAUAUUUUUUGGAGAAGUCACAAACACAUGCUGCUUCAAGUGGUGCAGAAAGCUUCAUUGAUGUGAGAAUUUUGUCAAGUUCUUUGGAGGCCAAGCUGACUGUUUGUUUUUGUGCUUUACAUGGAGAUGAAGAGGGUUCUGAGUGCCUGAGCAAUCCUCGAGAAAGGAAGGGUACUGGUAGAAGGGAGUUUACUAUCAUUUUUAACUCAAGAAUUUGUAAAGAUGUCGAACUUGAAAUAGGGAAUGUUAUCCGCAUACAUCAACCUUGGAAGGAGGUACAUGUGAACGAGAAAGACGAGGCCAUCAUUUUGUGUGCAUAUUUCUCUCAGAUUUAGUCUUUGGAUCACAUUUUAUACCAAGGUAAUAGCAAGGUUCCUUGAGAUAACUCUAUUGUUGUACUUUGCACUUGCCCUAUAUUUUCUAAAUAGAUAAAAAUAUAGAAGUCUAAUUUAUCCAUUUUCGCCAUAAAUAUUACUCAUGACUAC